rnacentral:rRNA from 1 species
AGAGCGAACGCUGGCGGCAGGCUUAACACAUGCAAGUCGAGCGGGCGUAGCAAUACGUCAGCGGCAGACGGGUGAGUAACGCGUGGGAACAUACCUUUUGGUUCGGAACAACACAGGGAAACUUGUGCUAAUACCGGAUAAGCCCUUACGGGGAAAGAUUUAUCGCCGAAAGAUUGGCCCGCGUCUGAUUAGCUAGUUGGUGAGGUAACGGCUCACCAAGGCGACGAUCAGUAGCUGGUCUGAGAGGAUGAUCAGCCACAUUGGGACUGAGACACGGCCCAAACUCCUACGGGAGGCAGCAGUGGGGAUAUUGGACAAUGGGCGCAAGCCUGAUCCAGCCAUGCCGCGUGAGUGAUGAAGGCCCUAGGGUUGUAAAGCUCUUUUGUGCGGGAAGAUAAUGACGGUACCGCAAGAAUAAGCCCCGCUAACUUCGCGCCAGCAGCCGC